rnacentral:rRNA from 1 species
GAGACACGUACAAACCUUAUCGAUAAACAAUUGGAGGGCAAGUCUGGUGCCAKCAGCCGCGGUAAUUCCAGCUCCAAUAGCGUAUAUUAACGUUGUUGCAGUUAAAAAGCUCGUAGUUGAAAUGAAGGGUAGUUGUGUAAUGGAUACAUUCGUGUAUUUUGUUAUUCUACUACCCUCCUUCUAAAUUCGAUAUAUGAGUAUUAAUUUACUUGUAUAUGGUUUUAGACGUUUACUGUGAGAAAAUUAGAGUGUUCAAAGCAGGCAUUUGCUUGAAUAUAUUAGCAUGGAAUAAUCAUGUAUGAUUUUCAUGAUGUAUUUGAUUGGUUUGGUUCAUGAGAAUAAGAUUAAAAGGGACAGUUGGGGGUAUUCAUAUUCAAUAGUCAGAGGUGAAAUUCUCGGAUUUAUGGAAGAUGAACAAGUGCCGAAA